CGCUCAUUCCCACGACCGCGGUUGCGAGAAUAUCUCUUCUGCGAUUACACACUGAUGGCUCUGCUCCUUGGCUCCAGGUGCUAGCCGAGGCCACAAGCGCGUUGUUCCAUACCGACGCAGAGAAUAAGUGGAAGGGCGUGUGGAUCGAGAUUGACAGCGGUGGAGACGACGGCUAGAGCGAGAGGAGCAGCGCCGUGGCCAGCGAGGGGAGCACAGUCACGGCCGCCGCGUCUGCGGGCUCCACAGCCACGUCGAGGAGAUGCUGUUGGGCUCCGUGGGUGGGUUGUGCUGCUGGUGGUAAGGGGCCGAGGUGGGCGGAGGUGAUAAUUCUGUGGUUUUUGCAGAUGCAAGCUGGGCCAGCGACGGAGAACGACAUUCGUGCCGCCAUCGGCGACAACUCCGGCAUGAGCAAAGCGAUACGAUAGCUGUUGAAGCAGGAGGGCGACUUGCGGCAUGCAGGCAAUGGUGGUGCCCUGGAUCCGUAUGUUUAUAUGGACCUCAGGAUCCUGGUCCCAGUGCACCUCUAAAGUGGAUACAUCAUUCUUUAGCAGCAGUUCUUUCAGCAAAAGAUUCCUCUCAUAGCAAUUCACAUUCACGGAUGAUAUUCCUUGGCAUCAACUUUUAUGGUUAUGAUUUUCUACUAUCUGGAGGUGCUACUCCCAAAUUGUGUGUUCCUUCUCCGGGGAAACCAUGAAUCCUUUAAUAUGGUUUCGAGAAGGAGAUAAUGACUAAAUACAAAGAUCAAGGCCCUUAACUUUAUCGAAAGUUUUAAAGAUGUUUUGGGGACCUUCCUCUAGCGGCAAUAAUAGCAGGAUGUGUGUACACUGCACGUGGAGGUGUCUUCACUAGUUCCAUGAUGGGUCUUUCUCCGAAUAAAGAUCAAGACAUUGGAUUGCUUUGGGGUCCUGAUAUCACUCAGCAAUUUCUGAGGACAAAUAAUUUGAAGCGACGCACAGGCGAAUUGAUCAUGUGGAGGCCUGGAAGUGUAAUGGUGGUUUACCGAGGGAGCAUUUACAAAAGGCCUCUAAAAUCUCAAGCUCUAAAUGGUGCCUCAUCAUCGGUUAAAGGCGAAUUUGGUGCAUUGUUCAUCCCAAAUGCCUCGAAUGCCGUUGAGAAUGAUAUUCAAGGGAUAUAUUUGUCUGCAAAACAUGCAACUGUGUCCCUAUUGAAUGUGUAGAAUAUUAAGCACAUGAAUGAGGAAGGGUUGGAGUUCAAUUAGAUAAUGAUGAGCUAGGUCCUCAUUUUGUGGAUUGGUGGGAACGGGUAUUUUACCAAUGGAUGUUGACUUGCUGCCUCAAAUAAUCCUUGGUUAUAAUAUACCAUACAGAGUUCUUUCGACUGGAAUGCGUUCGACCCUUACCAAUGCAGAGCUGACUAGCCAAAGUUAGUGAGGAACCUUCCAUGCCAUUUUGCUCUAGGGAGAAACCAGAACUAUCAAGUUUAGCAGCAGUAAUAUAAUAAGGAGCAUGUUGUAACUGCCCCAGCGUUGGUGUGGACAGCAGUAAUAUAUUGCUCAUCGAUUGCAAAUAAUUUUAUUCUAAUUUUUCAUCACA